GGGAAAUCUCUAAUUUGGCAUUAAAAUUCGAAAGAUCAUAUCAUAGGGAACAUGUGUACUAAGUUCUAAGACAAUUGGACUUUAACUUCAUCAAAAACUACCUCGACCAAAAGCUUUAACCUGAAGCGGAACGAACGGACGGACGAAUGAACGAAAGGAUGCACAGACUAGAAAACAUAAUGCCCAUAAAUGGGGGAGUUAGGGAGCUACCAUUUGAUUUUUAUGGGGGGGCUAGGAUGAAAAAUUUUGUCCUGCAUUUUUUUUUAGCUGUAAUCUCUGUCCUGCCUUUUUAUUUUUUACUCUAUUCGGUCCUGCCUUUUUUUUACUAGUUUAUCCUGACUUUUUUUACACAAAUUGUCAUCCUGCCUUUUUUUUAACAAGUUUCUCAUCUGCCUUUUUUUUUUACUCAAAACUCCUGUCCUGCCUAUUUUUUUCAAAUUUCAUCCUAGCCCCCCCCAUAAAAAUCAAAUGGUAGCUCCCUUAC
rnacentral:lncRNA from 1 species